rnacentral:rRNA from 1 species
AAACCGUGUACGUACAAGCAGUGGGAGCACGCUUAGGCGUGUGACUGCGUACCUUUUGUAUAAUGGGUCAGCGACUUAUAUUCUGUAGCAAGGUUAACCGAAUAGGGGAGCCGAAGGGAAACCGAGUCUUAACUGGGCGUUAAGUUGCAGGGUAUAGACCCGAAACCCGGUGAUCUAGCCAUGGGCAGGUUGAAGGUUGGGUAACACUAACUGGAGGACCGAACCGACUAAUGUUGAAAAAUUAGCGGAUGACUUGUGGCUGGGGGUGAAAGGCCAAUCAAACCGGGAGAUAGCUGGUUCUCCCCGAAAGCUAUUUAGGUAGCGCCUCGUGAAUUCAUCUCCGGGGGUAGAGCACUGUUUCGGCAAGGGGGUCAUCCCGACUUACCAACCCGAUGCAAACUGCGAAUACCGGAGAAUGUUAUCACGGGAGACACACGGCGGGUGCUAACGUCCGUCGUGAAGAGGGAAACAACCCAGACCGCCAGCUAAGGUCCCAAAGUCAUGGUUAAGUGGGAAACGAUGUGGGAAGGCCCAGACAGCCAGGAUGUUGGCUUAGAAGCAGCCAUCAUUUAAAGAAAGCGUAAUAGCUCACUGGUCGAGUCGGCCUGCGCGGAAGAUGUAACGGGGCUAAACCAUGCACCGAAGCUGCGGCAGCGACGCUUAUGCGUUGUUGGGUAGGGGAGCGUUCUGUAAGCCUGUGAAGGUGUGCUGUGAGGUAUGCUGGAGGUAUCAGAAGUGCGAAUGCUGACAUAAGUAACGAUAAAGCGGGUGAAAAGCCCGCUCGCCGGAAGACCAAGGGUUCCUGUCCAACGUUAAUCGGGGCAGGGUGAGUCGACCCCUAAGGCGAGGCCGAAAGGCGUAGUCGAUGGGAAACAGGUUAAUAUUCCUGUACUUGGUGUUACUGCGAAGGGGGGACGGAGAAGGCUAUGUUGGCCGGGCGACGGUUGUCCCGGUUUAAGCGUGUAGGCUGGUUUUCCAGGCAAAUCCGGAAAAUCAAGGCCGAGGCGUGAUGACGAGGCGCUACGGUGCUGAAGCAACAAAUGCCCUGCUUCCAGGAAAAGCCUCUAAGCAUCAGGUAACAUCAAAUCGUACCCCAAACCGACACAGGUGGUCAGGUAGAGAAUACCAAGGCGCUUGAGAGAACUCGGGUGAAGGAACUAGGCAAAAUGGUGCCGUAACUUCGGGAGAAGGCACGCUGAUACGUAGGUGAAGCGACUUGCUCGUGGAGCUGAAAUCAGUCGAAGAUACCAGCUGGCUGCAACUGUUUAUUAAAAACACAGCACUGUGCAAACACGAAAGUGGACGUAUACGGUGUGACGCCUGCCCGGUGCCGGAAGGUUAAUUGAUGGGGUUAGCGCAAGCGAAGCUCUUGAUCGAAGCCCCGGUAAACGGCGGCCGUAACUAUAACGGUCCUAAGGUAGCGAAAUUCCUUGUCGGGUAAGUUCCGACCUGCACGAAUGGCGUAAUGAUGGCCAGGCUGUCUCCACCCGAGACUCAGUGAAAUUGAACUCGCUGUGAAGAUGCAGUGUACCCGCGGCAAGACGGAAAGACCCCGUGAACCUUUACUAUAGCUUGACACUGAACAUUGAGCCUUGAUGUGUAGGAUAGGUGGGAGGCUUUGAAGUGUGGACGCCAGUCUGCAUGGAGCCGACCUUGAAAUACCACCCUUUAAUGUUUGAUGUUCUAACGUGGACCCGUGAUCCGGGUUGCGGACAGUGUCUGGUGGGUAGUUUGACUGGGGCGGUCUCCUCCUAAAGAGUAACGGAG